rnacentral:rRNA from 1 species
GAUGAACGCUGGCGGCAUGCUUAACACAUGCCAGUCGAACGGGAAGUGGUGUUUCCAGUGGCGAACGGGUGAGUAACGCGUAAGAACCUGCCCUUGGGAGGGGAACAACAACUGGAAACGGUUGCUAAUACCCCGUAGGCUGAGGAGCAAAAGGAGAAAUCCGCCCGAGGAGGGGCUCGCGUCUGAUUAGCUAGUUGGUGAGGUAAUAGCUUACCAAGGCGAUGAUCAGUAGCUGGUCCGAGAGGAUGAUCAGCCACACUGGGACUGAGACACGGCCCAGACUCCUACGGGAGGCAGCAGUGGGGAAUUUUCCGCAAUGGGCGAAAGCCUGACGGAGCAAUGCCGCGUGGAGGUGGAAGGCCUACGGGUCGUCAACUUCUUUUCUCGGAGAAGAAACAAUGACGGUAUCUGAGGAAUAAGCAGCGGCUAACUCUGUG